rnacentral:rRNA from 1 species
AUAAUUAAGAGUUUGAUCCUGGCUCAGGAUGAACGCUGGCGGCGUGCCUAACACAUGCAAGUCGAGCGAGAAUUGUUGGAACGGAGACUUCGGUCAAAGAGAAGACAAGGAAAGCGGCGGACGGGUGAGUAACGCGUGGGUAACCUGCCCCAUACAAAGGGAUAGCCACUGGAAACGGUGAUUAAUACCCUAUAAGACUACAGAAUCGCAUGAUUCAGUAGCCAAAGAUUUAUCGGUAUGGGAUGGACCCGCGUCUGAUUAGCUAGUUGGUGAGGUAACGGCUCACCAAGGCGACGAUCAGUAGCCGACCUGAGAGGGUGAUCGGCCACACUGGAACUGAGACACGGUCCAGACUCCUACGGGAGGCAGCAGUGGGGAAUAUUGCACAAUGGGCGCAAGCCUGAUGCAGCAACG